UACCUGCUUGAUCCUGCCAGUAGUCAUAUGCUUGUCUCAAAGAUUAAGCCAUGCAAGUCUAAGUACGAGCUCUCGUACAGUGAAACUGCGAAUGGCUCAUUAAAUCAGUUAUGGUUCAUUUGAUCGUACAGUUUACUUGGAUAACUGUGGUAAUUCUAGAGCUAAUACAUGCGAGAAGCGCCGACCUCGCGGGAGGCGUGCAUUUAUCAGACCAAAAACCGGCCGCGUCUUCGGGCGCGUUCGCCUUGGUGACUCUGGAUAACUUUGCGGAUCGCACGGUCUAGCACCGGCGACGGAUCAUUCAAGUGUCUGCCCUAUCAACUUUCGUCGGUACGGUAUUUGCCUACCGAGGAAUCU
rnacentral:ncRNA from 1 species